rnacentral:rRNA from 1 species
AGUGAACGCUGGCGGUAGGCCUAACACAUGCAAGUCGAACGGCAGCACAGUAAGAGCUUGCUCUUACGGGUGGCGAGUGGCGGACGGGUGAGGAAUACAUCGGAAUCUACUUUUUCGUGGGGGAUAACGUAGGGAAACUUACGCUAAUACCGCAUACGACCUACGGGUGAAAGCAGGGGAUCUUCGGACCUUGCGCGAUUGAAUGAGCCGAUGUCGGAUUAGCUAGUUGGCGGGGUAAAGGCCCACCAAGGCGACGAUCCGUAGCUGGUCUGAGAGGAUGAUCAGCCACACUGGAACUGAGACACGGUCCAGACUCCUACGGGAGGCAGCAGUGGGGAAUAUUGGACAAUGGGCGCAAGCCUGAUCCAGCCAUACCGCGUGAGUGAAGAAGGCCUUCGGGUUGUAAAGCCCUGUUGUUGGGAAAGAACAGCAGCAGAUUAAAACCCCGCUGUUCUGACGGUACCCAAAGAAUAAGCACCGGCUAACUACGUG